GAUGAACGCUGGCGGCGUGCCUAAUACAUGCAAGUCGAGCGAACAGACGAGGAGCUUGCUCCUCUGACGUUAGCGGCGGACGGGUGAGUAACACGUGGAUAACCUACCUAUAAGACUGGGAUAACUUCGGGAAACCGGAGCUAACACCGGAUAAUAUAUUGCACCGCAUGGUUCAAUAGUGAAAGACGGUUUUGCUGUCACUUAUAGAUGGAUCCGCGCCGCAUUAGCUAGUUGGUAAGGUAACGGCUUACCAAGGCAACGAUGCGUAGCCGACCUGAGAGAGUGGUCGGCCACACUGGAAGUGAGACGCGGACCAGACUCCUACGGGAGGCAGCAGUCGGGAAUCUGCCGCAAUGGGCGAAAGCCUGACGGAGCGGCGCCGCGUGAGUGAUGACGGUCUUCGGAUCGUAAAACUCUGUUAUUAGGGAAGAACAAAUGUGUAAGUAGCUAUGCACGUCUUGACGGUAACUAAUCAGAAAGCCACGGCUAACUACGUG
rnacentral:rRNA from 1 species